GCAUCAUUUAAAAAUGAAAUCCCAAACACACGUUUUGUUCACAUCUUUCUUGGAGAAUGGGUGGAAGAGUGACUUCUCAUAAAUUUUCAUUCUCUAAUAUUUGAUAAUCUUACCAAGACGUGAAAACUCUUAUAUAUACAUAAUAUAAACCCGUAUCGUUAGUUUAACAUUGCAUUCAAAUGAUAGAAAAUAUUUUCUAAUAUAAAAUAUUUUUUUAGAAAACAUUU
rnacentral:misc_RNA from 1 species